rnacentral:rRNA from 1 species
UAGGGAAUCUUCGGCAAUGGGGGCAACCCUGACCGAGCAACGCCGCGUGAGUGAAGAAGGUUUUCGGAUCGUAAAGCUCUGUUGUAAGAGAAGAACGUGUGUGAGAGUGGAAAGUUCACACUGUGACGGUAACUUACCAGAAAGGGACGGCUAACUACGUGUCAG